rnacentral:rRNA from 1 species
CAGGAUGAACGCUAGCGACAGGCUUAACACAUGCAAGUCGAGGGGCAGCACAGGUAGCAAUACCGGGUGGCGACCGGCGCACGGGUGAGUAACGCGUAUGCAACUUACCUAUCAGAGGGGGAUAACCCGGCGAAAGUCGGACUAAUACCGCAUGAAGCAGGGGCCCCGCAUGGGGAUAUUUGCUAAAGAUUCAUCGCUGAUAGAUAGGCAUGCGUUCCAUUAGGCAGUUGGCGGGGUAACGGCCCACCAAACCGACGAUGGAUAGGGGUUCUGAGAGGAAGGUCCCCCACAUUGGUACUGAGACACGGACCAAACUCCUACGGGAGGCAGCAGUGAGGAAUAUUGGUCAAUGGCCGAGAGGCUGAACCAGCCAAGUCGCGUGAGGGAUGAAGGUUCUAUGGAUCGUAAACCUCUUUUAUAAGGGAAUAAAGUGCGGGACGUGUCCCGUUUUGUAUGUACCUUAUGAAUAAGGAUCGGCUAACUCCGUGCCAGCAGCCGCGGUAAUACGGAGGAUCCGAGCGUUAUCCGGAUUUAUUGGGUUUAAAGGGUGCGUAGGCGGCCUUUUAAGUCAGCGGUGAAAGUCUGUGGCUCAACCAUAGAAUUGCCGUUGAAACUGGGGGGCUUGAGUAUGUUUGAGGCAGGCGGAAUGCGUGGUGUAGCGGUGAAAUGCAUAGAUAUCACGCAGAACCCCGAUUGCGAAGGCAGCCUGCCAAGCCAUUACUGACGCUGAUGCACGAAAGCGUGGGGAUCAAACAGGAUUAGAUACCCUGGUAGUCCACGCAGUAAACGAUGAUCACUAGCUGUUUGCGAUACACUGUAAGCGGCACAGCGAAAGCGUUAAGUGAUCCACCUGGGGAGUACGCCGGCAACGGUGAAACUCAAAGGAAUUGACGGGGGCCCGCACAAGCGGAGGAACAUGUGGUUUAAUUCGAUGAUACGCGAGGAACCUUACCCGGGUUUGAACGCAUUCGGACCGAGGUGGAAACACCUUUUCUAGCAAUAGCCGUUUGCGAGGUGCUGCAUGGUUGUCGUCAGCUCGUGCCGUGAGGUGUCGGCUUAAGUGCCAUAACGAGCGCAACCCUUGCCACUAGUUACUAACAGGUAAAGCUGAGGACUCUGGUGGGACUGCCAGCGUAAGCUGCGAGGAAGGCGGGGAUGACGUCAAAUCAGCAUGGCCCUUACAUCCGGGGCGACACACGUGUUACAAUGGCGUGGACAAAGGGAAGCCACCUGGCGACAGGGAGCGAAUCCCCAAACCACGUCUCAGUUCGGAUCGGAGUCUGCAACCCGACUCCGUGAAGCUGGAUUCGCUAGUAAUCGCGCAUCAGCCAUGGCGCGGUGAAUACGUUCCCGGGCCUUGUACACACCGCCCGUCAAGCCAUGGGAGCCGGGGGUACCUGAAGUCCGUAACCGCGAGGAUCGGCCUAGGGUAAAACUG